rnacentral:rRNA from 1 species
CCUACGGGAGGCAGCAGUAGGGAAUAUUGGACAAUGGGCGCAAGCCUGAUCCAGCCAUCCCGCGUGAAGGAUUAAGGCCCUCUGGGUUGUAAACUUCUUUUCUCUGGGAAUAAAAACCGGUAUUCAUAUUGGCUUGAAGGUACCAGAGGAAUAAGCACCGGCUAACUCCGUGCCAGCAGCCGCGGUAAUACGGAGGGUGCAAGCGUUAUCCGGAUUCACUGGGUUUAAAGGGUGCGUAGGUGGCUUUGUAAGUCAGUGGUGAAAUGCCGCAGCUCGACUGCGGAACUGCCAUUGAUACUGCUUAGCUUGAAUCACGUCGAGGUGGAUGGAAUAAUACAUGUAGCGGUGAAAUGCUUAGAUAUGUAUUAGAACACCGAUUGCGAAGGCAGUUCACUAGGCGUGUAUUGACACUGAGGCACGAAAGCGUGGGGAUCAAACAGGAUUAGAUACCCUGGUAGUCCACGCCCUAAACGAUGUAAACUCGACAUUAGCGAUAUACUGUUAGUGUCCAAGCGAAAGCGUUAAGUUUACCACCUGGAAGUACGACCGCAAGGUUGAAACGUCAAAUGAAUUGAGG